ACGUAGGUGGCGAGCGUUGUCCGGAUUUAUUGGGUUUAAAGGGUGCGUAGGUGGUCUAUUAAGUCAGUGCUGAAAUAUCCCGGCUUAACCGGGAGGGUGGCAUUGAUACUGAAGGACUUGAGUGAAGUCGAGGUAGGCGGAAUUGACGGUGUAGCGGUGAAAUGCUUAGAUAUCGUCAAGAACACCGAUAGUGUAGACAGCUUACUAGGCUUUAACUGACACUGAGGCACGAAAGUGUGGGGAUCAAACAGGA
rnacentral:rRNA from 1 species